rnacentral:misc_RNA from 1 species
AAGAUUCUGGCAUAUUUGCCGUACUUUCACUGGCUGUGCGCCGUUUGGCUGCACGCCGCUGAAACAUCUCACACCUGUGCACCUUCUCGGUUGAGGCUCUGACCAAGAGCCACUUCCGCCCUUUACAUACAACCACUACAGUCCAGAAAGUCGCAUACAAUAUAAAAA